rnacentral:rRNA from 1 species
AUUGAACGCUGGCGGCAGGCCUAACACAUGCAAGUCGAGCGAGCGGCGGACGGGUGAGUAAUGUAUGGGGACUGCCCGAUAGAGGGGGAUAACUACUGGAAACGGUGGCUAAUACCGCAUACUAUCGGAUAACCCAUAUGGGAUUAGCUAGUAGGUGGGGUAAAGGCUCACCUAGGCGACGAUCUCUAGCUGGUCUGAGAGGAUGAUACGCCAAACUGGGAAUGAGAAAAGGCCCAGACUCUGAGGGAGGCAGCAGUGGGGAAUAUUGCACAAUGGGCGAAAGCCGGAUGCAGCAAUGCCGCGUGUAGGAAGAAGGCCUUAGGGUUGUAAAGUACGUUCAGCGGGGAGGCGUUACCCGCAGAAAAAGCACCGGCUAACUCCGUGCCAGCAGCCGAGGUAAUAC